rnacentral:rRNA from 1 species
CCCUCUAUAAGUUGUUUUUGCUUGAAAUAGUUCGUGGAAUGACGUAAGGAUUCUAUAUUAGAUCUCUUCCAGUCGCUGUAACCGGCCCUCGAGGAGUUACUGGUGCAACAUCUUGAAGACCUACAGUUUGUUGUAGGAGAGUAGAAGUGCCCACUGUUUCAACUACCGUUGAGGGAAGGAGGGUUUGGCUGGUGAUGCUGGUUACGCUACCUCCAUCAAGAGUCCGACUCAGCCGUCCAGCAUCAACUACUGUUCCCUCUGAACGACGUGUAGUUAUGGUGCCCGGUCGUCCAGCCACCACUACUCGUGUGCUCUUCUAGGUCUAGACUUGAGGGAGUACUACUACAGGGAUCACAAGACCAGGUACAGAGGCACGCACCGUCUCUGUCACACUAGGGAAGGGGAGUAGAACAGCCACUCGGUCAGGUGGAACGCCGCCCACAAGUGUUUCUACUGUGAGACCCACUAACGGUUCCAGAGUAUGUCCAGUGUCUCACAUAGGUCGAAGGUGAGAAGGAAGAGGUGCAACUGUAUCUUAACGAACUAUGGGAGUUCCCAUUCGAGUAGAGAGAACUGUUCUUAGGAGUGUCCGAACAAGUACUUGAACGCCCAAUAGAGUUCCCGGAGUCCUCCGUACCAUCGUCUCUUGUGGGGUUGGACUUAGAAACUACCUUCUUCGACCUUCUAUAGUAUCUA